ACAAGAUUUAGUUAAGGAGGCACAGAA
rnacentral:piRNA from 1 species